CAAUCUGUCCAUAAGUCGGGGAAUAGCCCAGCGAAAGUUUGGGAUUUAAAUGCUCCCAUGUGAGUUUUUAGAGGCAUCUCUUUAAUUUGAAACGUAAGGAUUAUGGGUGAGCACGCUUCUGAUUAGGUAGUUGGUGAGGUAACGGCUCACCAAGCCGACGAUCAGUAGGGGUUCUGAGAGGAAGGUCCCCCACACUGGAACUGAGACACGGUCCAGACUCCUACGGGAGGCAGCAGUGAGGAAUAUUGGUCAAUGGGCGCGAGCCUGAACCAGCCAAGUAGCGUGCAGGAUGACGGCCCUAUGGGUUGUAAACUGCUUUUAUGCGGGAAUAAGAUCAGAUACGUGUAUCUGCGUGCAUGUACCGCAUGAAUAAGGACCGGCUAAUUCCGUG
rnacentral:rRNA from 1 species